UUCCGGUUGAUCCUGCCGGACCUGACUGCUAUCGGAUUGAUACUAAGCCAUGCGAGUCUUUGCAGUAAUGCAAGGCAUACGGCUCAGUAACACGUAGUCAACUUACCCUAUGGACGAGGAUAAUCUCGGGAAACUGAGCAUAAUACUCGAUAGAUCAUAAUACCUGGAAUGGUUUAUGGUUAAAAUGAUUCGUCGCCAUAGGAUGGGACUGCGGCCUAUCAGCUUGUUGGUGAGGUAAUGGCCCACCAAGGCGAUUACAGGUACGGGCUCUGAGAGGAGAAGCCCGGAGAUGGGUACUGAGACAAGGACCCAGGCCCUAUGGGGCGCAGCAGGCGAGAAAACUUUGCAAUGUGCGAAAGCACGACAAGGUUAAUCCGAGUGAUUUCUGCUAAAGAAAUCUUUUGCAAGUCAUAAAACCACUAGUGAAUAAGGGGUGGGCAAGUUCUGGUGUCAGCCGCCGCGGUAAAACCAGCACCUCAAGUGGUCAGGAGGAUUAUUGGGCCUAAAGCAUCCGUAGCCGGCUCUGUAAGUUUUCGGUUAAAUCCAUGUGCUCAACGCAUGGGCUGCCGAAAAUACUGCAUAGCUAGGGAGUGGGAGAGGUAGACGGUACUCGGUAGGAAGGGGUAAAAUCCUUUGAUCUAUCGAUGACCACCUGUGGCGAAGGCGGUCUACCAGAACACGUUCGACGGUGAGGGAUGAAAGCUGGGGGAGCAAACCGGAUUAGAUACCCGGGUAGUCCCAGCUGUAAACGAUGCAGACUCGAUGAUGCAUUGGCAUAUAGCCAGUGCAGUGUCGCAGGGAAGCCGUUAAGUCUGCCGCCUGGGAAGUACGUACGCAAGUAUGAAACUUAAAGGAAUUGGCGGGGGAGCACCACAAGGGGUGAAGCCUGCGGUUCAAUUGGAUUCAACGCCGGG
rnacentral:rRNA from 1 species